rnacentral:rRNA from 1 species
GGUUAAGCGACUAAGCGUACACGGUGGAUGCCCUGGCAGUCAGAGGCGAUGAAGGACGUGCUAAUCUGCGAAAAGCGUCGGUAAGGUGAUAUGAACCGUUAUAACCGGCGAUGUCCGAAUGGGGAAACCCAGUGCAAUUCGUUGCACUAUCGUUAACUGAAUACAUAGGUUAACGAGGCGAACCGGGGGAACUGAAACAUCUAAGUACCCCGAGGAAAAGAAAUCAACCGAGAUUCCCCCAGUAGCGGCGAGCGAACGGGGAGCAGCCCAGAGUCUGAAUCAGCUUGUGUGUUAGUGGAACGGUCUGGAAAGUCCGACGGUACAGGGUGAUAGUCCCGUACACCAAAAUGCACAGGUUGUGAACUCGAAGAGUAGGGCGGGACACGUGGUAUCCUGUCUGAAUAUGGGGGGACCAUCCUCCAAGGCUAAAUACUCCUGACUGACCGAUAGUGAACCAGUACCGUGAGGGAAAGGCGAAAAGAACCCCGGCGAGGGGAGUGAAAAAGAACCUGAAACCGUGUACGUACAAGCAGUGGGAGCACCUUCGGGUGUGACUGCGUACCUUUUGUAUAAUGGGUCAGCGACUUAUAUUCUGUAGCAAGGUUAACCGUAUAGGGGAGCCGCAGGGAAACCGAGUCUUAACUGGGCGUUAAGUUGCAGGGUAUAGACCCGAAACCCGGUGAUCUAGCCAUGGGCAGGUUGAAGGUUGGGUAACACUAACUGGAGGACCGAACCGACUAAUGUUGAAAAAUUAGCGGAUGACUUGUGGCUGGGGGUGAAAGGCCAAUCAAACCGGGAGAUAGCUGGUUCUCCCCGAAAGCUAUUUAGGUAGCGCCUCGUGAAUUCAUCUUCGGGGGUAGAGCACUGUUUCGGCUAGGGGGUCAUCCCGACUUACCAACCCGAUGCAAACUACGAAUACCGAAGAAUGUUAUCACGGGAGACACACGGCGGGUGCUAACGUCCGUCGUGAAGAGGGAAACAACCCAGACCGCCAGCUAAGGUCCCAAAGUCAUGGUUAAGUGGGAAACGAUGUGGGAAGGCACAGACAGCCAGGAUGUUGGCUUAGAAGCAGCCAUCAUUUAAAGAAAGCGUAAUAGCUCACUGGUCGAGUCGGCCUGCGCGGAAGAUGUAACGGGGCUAAACCAUGCACCGAAGCUGCGGCAGCGACACGAUGUGUUGUUGGGUAGGGGAGCGUUCUGUAAGCCUGCGAAGGUGACCUGUGAGGGUUGCUGGAGGUAUCAGAAGUGCGAAUGCUGACAUAAGUAACGAUAAAGCGGGUGAAAAGCCCGCUCGCCGGAAGACCAAGGGUUCCUGUCCAACGUUAAUCGGGGCAGGGUGAGUCGACCCCUAAGGCGAGGCCGAAAGGCGUAGUCGAUGGGAAACAGGUUAAUAUUCCUGUACUUGGUGUUACUGCGAAGGGGGGACGGAGAAGGCUAUGUUAGCCGGGCGACGGUUGUCCCGGUUUAAGCAUGUAGGCUGGUUAUCCAGGCAAAUCCGGAUAAUCAAGGCUGAGGUGUGAUGACGAGGCACUACGGUGCUGAAGUAACAAAUGCCCUGCUUCCAGGAAAAGCCUCUAAGCAUCAGGUAACAUCAAAUCGUACCCCAAACCGACACAGGUGGUCAGGUAGAGAAUACCAAGGCGCUUGAGAGAACUCGGGUGAAGGAACUAGGCAAAAUGGUGCCGUAACUUCGGGAGAAGGCACGCUGGUGUGUAGGUGAAGCCCCUGCGGGUGGAGCUGAGACCAGUCGAAGAUACCAGCUGGCUGCAACUGUUUAUUAAAAACACAGCACUGUGCAAACACGAAAGUGGACGUAUACGGUGUGACGCCUGCCCGGUGCCGGAAGGUUAAUUGAUGGGGUUAUCCGUAAGGAGAAGCUCUUGAUCGAAGCCCCGGUAAACGGCGGCCGUAACUAUAACGGUCCUAAGGUAGCGAAAUUCCUUGUCGGGUAAGUUCCGACCUGCACGAAUGGCGUAAUGAUGGCCAGGCUGUCUCCACCCGAGACUCAGUGAAAUUGAACUCGCUGUGAAGAUGCAGUGUACCCGCGGCAAGACGGAAAGACCCCGUGAACCUUUACUAUAGCUUGACACUGAACAUUGAGCCUUGAUGUGUAGGAUAGGUGGGAGGCUUUGAAGCGUGGACGCCAGUCUGCGUGGAGCCAACCUUGAAAUACCACCCUUUAAUGUUUGAUGUUCUAACGUUGGCCCCUGACCGGGGUUGCGGACAGUGUCUGGUGGGUAGUUUGACUGGGGCGGUCUCCUCCCAAAGCGUAACGGAGGAGCACGAAGGUUAGCUAAUCCUGGUCGGACAUCAGGAGGUUAGUGCAAUGGCAUAAGCUAGCUUGACUGCGAGCGUGACGGCGCGAGCAGGUGCGAAAGCAGGUCAUAGUGAUCCGGUGGUUCUGAAUGGAAGGGCCAUCGCUCAACGGAUAAAAGGUACUCCGGGGAUAACAGGCUGAUACCGCCCAAGAGUUCAUAUCGACGGCGGUGUUUGGCACCUCGAUGUCGGCUCAUCACAUCCUGGGGCUGAAGUAGGUCCCAAGGGUAUGGCUGUUCGCCAUUUAAAGUGGUACGCGAGCUGGGUUUAGAACGUCGUGAGACAGUUCGGUCCCUAUCUGCCGUGGGCGCUGGAGAAUUGAGGGGGGCUGCUCCUAGUACGAGAGGACCGGAGUGGACGCAUCACUGGUGUUCGGGUUGUCAUGCCAAUGGCACUGCCCGGUAGCUAAAUGCGGAAGAGAUAAGUGCUGAAAGCAUCUAAGCACGAAACUUGCCCCGAGAUGAGUUCUCCCUGAGACUUUAAGUCUCCUGAAGGAACGUUGAAGACGACGACGUUGAUAGGCCGGGUGUGUAAGCGCAGCGAUGCGUUGAGCUAACCGGUACUAAUGAACCGUGAGGCUUAACCUU